rnacentral:miRNA from 1 species
UGGAUGACAGUGGAGGCCU